GCCCAGCUAGCUCAGUUGGUAGAGCAUGAGACUCUUAAUCUCAGGGUUGUGGGUUUGAGCCUCAUGUUGGGCA
rnacentral:tRNA from 1 species